AAAAAAAAAAAAAAAACUGAAGGGAUUUUCGUGCAAAAAAGUUUAAGGGGAUCAGGACCCUUAGGUUAUGGGCAAAACAAUUUUUAAAGAAAAUUCCAGUUUUGCUCUUCUGGGCUCGAGGUCACUUUUCGAGAUUUCGAUCACUCAGCGGCUCUACGCAAAGGAAAGGCAUUGGUUUGAUCGUUCGUGGCACCCGCUUGGCAUUGAGAGUACGAUCCAGGCUCCAGUUCUACACCCCGUGGCUGAUACGCGAGGGUGACAUCUUUCAGUCAUUCAGGGUGAGCUACUUGGUCAUCCGUGGCCCCUGAAGGACCUCCUCUAUUUAUUUCUGUUUUUGUAUCCGACAGACAAUAUGUAGCCUUCGGUAUUUUUAGACUUAUAUUCCGUAUUAUGUUAGUGCUCUUGUACCCUUUGACCAGAUUUUGGGGUUGUCGUGACAUUUCUAGUUAUGAUAAGUAUUUAAGACUUGAUAACUUAUUCUUAUUUAAUUUUCCGCUUAUUUAACUUGUUAUUAGUAAUGUGGUUCGCCUACUCGGAGGGAUAGUGUAGGUGCCACCACGACUCGCGAAUUGGGUCGUAACAUAUAUAUAUACUAUGUUCAAAACACGAUUAAUAUAACAUUGUAGUUUGCACUCCGUAUCUAAAACUUUAGUAUGUUAGUGUUUACUACGAAUACAAAGUCUGCACUUUUUUUUACAUUAUUUUUUUUUUAAUAUGGGGUUCACUUUUUUUUACAGUGAGUUUGGAGAUGGUGGGUUCCACUUUUUUUUUUUUUUUAAUAUUGCUUGAUGUUGUUUAGUAUAAGGUCCACCCUUUAUGGGGUGCACUUUUUUUUUUUCUUUUUUUGAACAUUAUUAGUUUGUACUAUUUUUAUGCAUAUAAUAUAUAUACAUAUACUAUGUUCAAAACACGAUUGAUAUAACAUUAUAAUUUGUGUUCCGUAUCUAAAACUUUAUUAUAUUAGUGUUUGCUACGAAUACAAAGUCUGCAUUUUUUUUUUUGACAUUGUUUAUUUUUUUAAUAUGGGAUUCACUUUUUUUUUUAUAUAUAUUGCUUGAUUCUGUCAAUAUGGGAUACUAUGUUCAAAACACGAUUAAUAUAAUAUUGUAGUUUGUGCUCCGUAUUUAAAACUUUAUUAUAUUAGUGUUUGCUACGAAUACGCACGUGGCAAUGAAUCCAUCAUUAUUGACUUAAUGAGAUACUUUGGAAAUUACAUGAAUAUUGUUUGAUUUUUUAAUACGGGGUGCACUUUUUUUUUUUGGACAUUAUUAAUUUGCACUAUUUUUAUGCAUAUAUAUAUAUAUAUAUUUUAUUGGAACGGACGACGAAAAGGUUGAGCCAAGUGGCUCUUCUAUAUAGUUAAAAUAUGUUUAAUAUGGGGCCUAAUUUUUUUUUUUUAACAUUAUUUAUUUUUUUAAUAUGAGAUUCACUUUUUUUUUUAAUAUUGCUUGAUUUUGUUAAUAUGGGGUCCACUUUUUUUUUUCCCGUGAGUUUGGAUGUGGUGGGUUCCACUGGUUGGUGUUUAAUAUGGGGCCCACAAUUUUUUUUAGUUGUUGUUUAAUAUAUAUGGGCUCCACAAUUUUUUUAUUAGGGGCCCACAUUGGACGACGAAAAAGGAGCCCAACCGGCUCUUCUAUAUAGUUAGAAUAGAAAAUAGGCAAAUCGAGAUGUCAAUUUCCACACUUAAAUCACCUCUAAUUUUGAAUUUUACUAGUUUAAAUUCAAAUUCAUUGUUUGUUCAUCUUAAUCGUAGUAAAUUGAGCCGUGACCCAUUUAUUAACUCAACUACUUAUUCAUUAAAAUCUUAGCCUAACCCUUUAAUGCAUGCCUAAACUUGAGUUGGAACUUGGAAGUUCAAUUAUGUCGAGACACUCGAUCCACCUUAACA